GAUGAAGAACGCAGCGAAACGCGAUAUGUAAUGUGAAUUGCAGAAUUCAGUGAAUCAUCGAAUCUUUGAACGCACAUGGCGCCUUCCAGUAUCCUGGGAGGCAUGCCUGUCCGAGCGUCGUUUCAACCCUCGAGCCCCCGUGGCCCGGCGUUGGGGAUCUGCCCAGGCAGUCCCCGAAAACCAGUGGCGGACCCGUUACAGGCCCUUCCCUUGCGUAGUAGCAUUCGCCUCGCAUCGGGAGCCGGCAGGCUUCCAGCCUCUAAACCCCCAUCAAGUCCGCCCCGGCGGCACCAAGGUUGACCUCGGAUCAGGUAGGAAUACCCGCUGAACUUAAGCAUAUCAAUAAGCGGAGGA
rnacentral:misc_RNA from 1 species